rnacentral:pre_miRNA from 1 species
CUAGUACUCCCUCCGUCCGGAAAUACUUGUCAUCAAAAUGAAUAAAAAAGGAUGUAUCUAGACGUAUUUUAGUUCUAGAUACAUCUCCUUUUAUCCAUUUUGAUGGCAAGUAUUUUCGGACGGAGGGAGUAGCUA